GUUUCUCCUCUAAUUCUUUUUUUUCUUGAAGCAGCGUUUGAUUAGACUUUAGACUAGAGUAGAGUAAUUUCUUUUUGGGGAUUUCCAUAGGGGCUAAUUUAUAAUUUUAAAGAACUUCAGGAGCAGUCUCAAACUUCAAUAGGGACUAAUUUAAAACUCAUCUUGCUUUGGAAAUUGGAACCCGUUUAUCUCCCACCACCUUUACCAAUCCAGAAGACCAAAAAAAAAAAAAAAAAAAUUUCCGUGUAUCUCUCUUUCUCUCGCUGAGAACUUUCAAAUUCGGAUGAGCCAAGGAAUCUUCCAAAGGGAAAUACUUUGAAAUUCACUAAAAUUAGUAAAUAAACUACCCUAAACAAUUUUCAGGGCCGUGAGAAAUUCGGAACCUGUGAAGUAUUUGUCAAUCCAAUACCACAGUCCCUCUCGAUGUACAUUUCAACUUUCUCUCUCUCUCUCUCUCUCUCUCGCAGAGCGCUUCCAAUAAGCCAAGUCCAUGAAGCCUGUUGAGCUGAUUGUUGAAGUGGGCUAGGGGAGGGAUUAUAAGCCCUCAGCAGUUGAUGUAGCAAAUGACACAAAUUGCAAUGACAAAGGCCUGAUGUGGAGGGUGCAUCAUACAACACAGCUGUUAUUUUAAGUGGACCCUGUGAAUUAUAUUGAAUGCAUCAAUAUGGACUAUAUGUCACCAAAGAAAAAAGUCAUUUGAUGAUUUUCUGCUUGAUGUCAAAGGCUGUCAAGAUGUUUUAUGCUUUCUUUUGACAAGUAUGUGAAAGUGGAAUUUCUUGAGGGUGAUUGUUUAAGAGAGAGAGAUUGACCAUUGAAUCUACUUUGAUCAAUAUUCUUUAGAAAAUUUAAACAGAUUAAGAUUUACUCCAAAAGUUCAGAAAGAAGAGAAUUUGUUAUACUAACAGUGAUAUAAAAACAGCAACUACAGUGGCAUAUACUUUGACAUAAGUUUCCAAUUGUGCUUCCUUUCCUUUUGUACCUGGUUUUUAGUCAUAUGCCAUCUGCUACUGCUUAUUCAUUACCAGGACAAAUUCAUUUGCUGUUGCUUAUUGUUGUGAUUCUUGAAACCCCUUUAGCUGAUUGUUGAAGCAGGGCUCCUAGCAAGCUAGGGGCUGGAAGUGCCCCCAUUGAGCAUUGGGGGAGGUGGAGGUCUCUUCUGAUGUGAGCCUAGCAAUGGAGCAGUGUUGUGGCUCACAAAGGCCCUUUGACUGAAUCUUGGAGAAGGGAUAUAAGUGCCCGGAUUGGGCGCAGAGGGAGGGACUUGGUGUCUCAGAGGAGAGACACUGUGGCUGGCUAAGGUCUUUUGACGGAUAGAUGAUGGAGUGACUUGACCUUGCAGUGACUCAAACAAAUGGUGUUUAUUUACUAUAUUUUGCUCUUCUCUAUGGAAGAUUCUGCUAGCCUCAUGUGCAUAUGCAUGUAUGCUCGUGAGAAGAAACACUGCUCUGAUUAUGAGAUGCAUAUUUUGAAGCCUCAUCUUGUUCUGUAAAAGUAUAUAUAGAGUUGAGAGCAAUUUGAUGGAGAAUGUCUUAGGCUUUUGGCUUUAUAAGGAGUAAUUUUUACCGCACAGGCAUUAGAAGAAUCUGGUAAGAAGCCAAUGUUUUACUACAAAGGAAACCGUGGUAGACACAAAGGAAUCCAUUUCCAUCCUUGCAACUAAAAAUUUGUCCAUUUGAACCGCAUUAAGUUUUUUUUUUUUUUUUUUUAAUAUCCAAAAAGUGACACCAAUAAAGGUCCAUUCAAAUCCCAAGCUGGGAGUGGAGAUUCUGCAUAUGCGUUGGCCAUGUUUUGCUCAAAUAUUUUGUGUAGUGAAGCACAAUUUCCUG